rnacentral:lncRNA from 1 species
CUAUUUGGCCAUAUAAGGAACAUGGUGUAUAUGCUAGGUAGUGUCAGGUUAGGGCACAAUGUUGUUUUUGCCCAAUCAUGGGCUGGAGUAUGGUUGUAAUUAGUUAAAUACAGAAAAGAUAAGUAUAAAUUGUGUGGAAGGGGAGCAUGUGGAUAGUCAACCAUGUGUGAAACAUAACGUAUCAGCCAUAGACUGAGAUGCUUAGCCUGCCACGAGUUGGAGCAUAGUUGUGACCAGUCCAAUACCAAAAUCAAAUCAAAAUAAUGAAGCAUAUCUAAUUGAAGGAUAUCUAGGCU